rnacentral:rRNA from 1 species
ACGUAGGGGGCGAGCGUUGUCCGGAUUCAUUGGGCGUAAAGAGCUCGUAGGCGGCUCAGUAAGUCGAGUGUGAAAUCUCCCGGCUCAACUGGGAGGGUGCGCUAGAAACUGGUCUGCUGGAGUGUGGGAGAGGUAAGCGGAAUUCCUGGUGUAGCGGUGAAAUGCGUAGAUAUCAGGAGGAACACCUGCGGUGUAGACGGCUUACUGGACCAUGACUGACGCUGAGGCACGAAAGCGUGGGUAGCAAACAGGA